GCGGCUAUAGCUCAGUUGGGAGAGCGUCAGACUGAAGAUCUGAAGGUCCCGCGUUCAAUCCGCGGUGGCCGCA
rnacentral:tRNA from 1 species